rnacentral:rRNA from 1 species
CAGCAGCCGCGGGAAUACGUAGGUGGCAAGCGUUGUCCGGAAUUAUUGGGCGUAAAGGGCUCGCAGGCGGUUUCUUAAGUCUGAUGUGAAAGCCCCCGGCUCAACCGGGGAGGGUCAUUGGAAACUGGGAAACUUGAGUGCAGAAGAGGAGAGUGGAAUUCCACGUGUAGCGGUGAAAUGCGUAGAGAUGUGGAGGAACACCAGUGGCGAAGGCGACUCCCUGGUCUGUAACUGACGCUGAGGAGCGAAAGCGUGGGGAGCGAACAGGAUUAGAUACCCCAGUAGUCCCUGUCUCUUAUAC